rnacentral:lncRNA from 1 species
AUUGGAGCCUUGCCACACAAAUUCUGUGUGAGAAGUUUAAACCUGUCUUCUCUUUGUUUCUGCGCAGGUCCUGCAAGAAAAGGAGCAUGAGUGCUUUAUUAGAGACACUGCUUCAGACUCAGGGAGAGCGAAGAGAAGCCAACCAGCAGCUGGAGCAGCUCAGGCAGGAGGUAAAGAGCAGCGCGAGGACGGGCAGAACGUCACAGAAGAACUGCAAGCAGGGCUGCAGGAGACUCAGAGUGAGAUGCAGGCAGUGGAGAAGAGGCACAAGGAAGAAAUCAAACCCAUGAAAGAGGAAAUUACUGUCCUCCUUCAGCAGAAGGAUGCUCUGCAAAACCAGGUGGAAGAGUUGACAUCUCAACUAGCAGCCUCCAAAGAGUCCCAGCAAGUGAUUGGUUGCCAAGCUCAGCAAGGUCUGAGUGAGGCACAGGAACUGUCAGGGCAGAAGGUGCCGGAUGUUGUCACUUCCAGAAGAUCCUGGAGAAGAGGAGUCAAUGGGAGAAGGUAGAACGUCAGAGCAAGGAGCUGCAAGGGUGUGUGCGGUCCUUGGGGGGGAAGGGAGUCGCUGGGGAGAGGUGGAGCAUCACAACACAGAAUUUCAGGCUUUGUUGAAGGUCCUAGAGAAUGACAAAGCCUGGUAAAUGAAGUCUGUGAAACUCCCUCUUCUGGUUAAUGGAUUCCCUCUUUCACAUCUUUGCAUCUACAAGUGGCUCUGGCAGCAUUCCCUAGAAGCAG